AUGCCGUUGCUGCAGGAGUUAGUCAUGUCUACUAACAAGCUGUCGGGAGCUAAGCUGCAGAAGUUCAACACCGGGAACAACUUGUUUUCCGGCGAGAUACCGGCACGGCUCACUGCCAGAAUGCCGUUGCUGCAGGAGUUAGUCAUGUCUACUAACAAGCUGUCGGGAGCGAUCCCGGCGAGCAUCGUGUCGCUCGGUGGCCUCACGCAGAUGAACUUCAGCAACAACCAGCUCACCUGCGAGAUACCAGCAGGAUUGGGCUCUAUGCUGGUGCUCACCCUGCUCGACGUCUCAUCCAAUCAACUCUCUGGCAGCAUCCCGCCAGCGCUAGGAUCGGUAAGGUUGAACCAGCUAAAUCUUUCAUCCAAUAAUCUCGUCGGCGAGGUCCCGGAGGCGCUCGCUGUCUCCACCUACGACCGAAGCUUCUUGGGCAAACCCACGCUCUGCAUGGGCCCGACAUCGUCAGGGAACCUCACCGGCGUGAGUUCGUGUGCAGCCAGGUCAUCCAACAAGGUAUUACCAGGCCUCCGCACCGGCCUUGUCGCCGCCACCGCCGCUGCUCUACUAGUCGUCAUCGUUGUGCUCGCUUUCUUCAUCAUUUGCGACAUCAAGAGGCGGAAGGGGCUCGCGCCGCUCGAAAAAGCUUGGAAGCUUACCCAGCCGCUGGACUUUGGCGAAGCCGCCGUGCUGCGCGGGCUCGCCGACGAGAACCUCAUCGGCAAGUGCGGCUCGGGACGGGUGUACUGCGUGGAGUGGCCCUCACGCCGGGAGGGAGCGAGAGGGACGUCAGCAAGGCCCCUCCCAAACUGA
rnacentral:rRNA from 1 species